UACGUAGGGGGCAAGCGUUGUCCGGAAUCAUUGGGCGUAAAGCGCGUGUAGGCGGUUCAGUAAGUCCGCUCUGAAAGCCCGGGGCUCAACCCUGGGAGGCGGGUGGAUACUGCUGGACUAGAGUACGGAAGAGGCGAGUGGAAUUCCCGGUGUAGCGGUGAAAUGCGCAGAUAUCGGGAGGAACACCAAUUGCGAAGGCAGCUCGCUGGGACGUCACUGACGCUGAGACGCGAAAGCGUGGGGAGCAAACAGGAUUAGAACCGUACCG
rnacentral:rRNA from 1 species